rnacentral:rRNA from 1 species
CGCAAUGGGCGAAAGUCUGACGGAGCGACGCCGCGUGGAGGAUGAAGUGCUUCGGUAUGUAAACUCCUUUUGCCAGGGAAAAAGUUUAUUGAUUGUACCUGGAGAAUAAGAGGUUGCUAAACUCGUGCCAGCAGCAGCGGUAAUACGAGUGCCUCGAGCGUUAUCCGGAAUUAUUGGGCGUAAAGGGUGCGUAGGUGGUUGUGUUAGUCUUGUGUUAAAUUUACCGGCUCAACCGGUAAGCUGCAUGGGGAACGGCAUGACUAAGAGGUUAGAAGGGGUUUGCGGAACUCAUAGUGUAGCGGUGAAAUGCGUUGAUAUUAUGGGGAACACCAAAAGCGAAGGCAGCAAACUGGUCUACACCUGACACUGAGGCACGAAAGCGU